GACGAACGCUGGCGGCGUGCCUAACACAUGCAAGUCGAACGGGGUGUGGGGAGCUUGCUCCCUACACUUAGUGGCGAACGGGUGAGUAACGCGUGAGGAACCUGCCUUUCAGUGGGGGACAACAGUUGGAAACGACUGCUAAUACCGCAUAACGUGACGAGAUCGCAUGGUCUUGUUACCAAAGCUGAGGCGCUGAAAGAUGGACUCGCGUCUGAUUAGAUAGUUGGUGAGGUAACGGCUCACCAAGUCGACGAUCAGUAGCCGGACUGAGAGGUUGAACGGCCACAUUGGGACUGAGAUACGGCCCAGACUCCUACGGGAGGCAGCAGUCGGGAAUAUUGCGCAAUGGAGGAAACUCUGACGCAGUGACGCCGCGUAUAGGAAGAAGGUUUUCGGAUUGUAAACUAUUGUCGUUAGGGAAGAUAAUGACGGUACCUGACUAAGAAGCCCCGGCUAACUACGUG
rnacentral:rRNA from 1 species